CCGGCGCACGGGUGCGUAACGCGUAUGCAACCUACCUUUAACAGGGGAGUAACACUGAGAAAUUGGUACUAAUACCCCAUAAUAUCAUAGAAGGCAUCUUUUAUGGUUGAAAAUUCCGAUGGUUAGAGAUGGGCAUGCGUUGUAUUAGCUAGUUGGUGGGGUAACGGCUCACCAAGGCGACGAUCAGUAGCCGACCUGAGAGGGUGACCGGCCACAUUGGGACUGAGACACGGCCCAA
rnacentral:rRNA from 1 species